GACGAACGCUGGCUAUAGGCUUAACACAUGCAAGUCGAGGGGAAUCUGUAAAGAGUGCUUGCCCACUUGGGACUUCAACCGGCGCAGGGGUGAGUAACGCGUAUCCGACCUGCCCCUUCCUUGGGGAUGACCCGUUGAAAGACGGACUAAUACCCAAUGAUAUUCAUUGAUGACAUCUGAUUUGAAUUAAAGAUUUAUCGGUAUAGGAGGGGGAUGCGUCUGAUUAUCAUGUUGGUGAGGUAACGGCUCACCACGGCCACGAUCAGUAGGGGUUCUGAGAGGAGGUCCCCCACCGUGCACUGGGACACAGUCCGGCUCCUACGGGAUGCAAGGUGAGGAAUAUUGGUCAAUGGACGAUAGGUGAACCUGAUCAAGCCCGUGCAGGAUGACGGCCCUGUGGGUUGUAAACUGCUUUUGUUUGGUAAUAAUCUACAUUGCAUUUCUUGUUUUGCUUGUUCCUUUCGAAUCCUGACCAGUAAAUUCCUUGCCAGUACGCGCGGUAAUACGGAAGGUCCAGGCGUUUGCCGGAUUUAUUGGGGUUUAAUGGGACUGUAUGCGGUUUGUUUAUGUUUGUUUUUAUCAUGAUGUUGGAAUCCCCUGUGUGUUGUCUGGGAACUGUGUGUUGAACUGUGAUUGCUCUGUGUUGUGGUAGUGUGUGAUUUUGUGUGAGCUGGUUUGUGGUGUGGUGUUGUUGUGAUUUUUGUUUUGUGGGUGUUGUGUUGUGUGUUGUGUGUGUGUUUG
rnacentral:rRNA from 1 species